GCUGUAUGUGCUGUACAAUGGCUGCUGGAAAAGACAAGUGUUUUGUUGUUGACUUGCCAUCCAGAAACCACUUGCUGCAUUCUUGUUGGUUGCCCAGGAGGCUCCACUUCUGCUUUUCAAAGAUGCACGUUUGUAUUAUUGCACAUCUGAACUUUAUCCUCUCUCUAUUUUGCAUCUAUUUUUAUAUACGAGUGGAAAUGUUGAGUUUAUGGGGGGGGUCAGCAGCAACUUAUUUGGAUUUAAAGUGACAACAGGCCCAAAAACAACUCAUUCUGAAAGUAGCGUGACCAAACUGAAAUCUCAUUAUGUAAGAAUGAUUUUGUGCAAAAAAUGUAAUCAGCAAGAUUUCUAUUGUCCAUAAGCCUGUCUUGGUCAAGGAAGCAUUAUAGGUCACAUUUAAAAAUGAAAAACACAAGAGUGCACUGCAUGUCGCUAGGUUUCAGUUAUUGUGACAAUUUUAAUCACUCAGAAAGGGUUCGUGCCCUUUUUUAAUAACUGCAUCAGUGCUCUGUAUGAUCAGUACAACAAAACUAAUUGUAAACAUUCUAUGAAGCAUUUCCUGUUUGACUCUAGUCCUCUUUAUUCAACAGCAGCUAGAUCAGAGGAAGGGCAGAGAGAGAAGAGAAAAAUAUGCAGCAAAUGGCCCGGGGCCAGGAAUCGAUCCGGGGACGACGGCGUUGAGGACUGCAGCCCCUGUAUAUGGAGCGCCUGCUCUACCACUGAGCCAUGCGGUGCCCUCCUUUCCUGUUUGUUGUAAUAUGUAGCAUCCUGUUGCAUUCUGCCUUCUCUGCACUCCAUGCAGGACGUAUUAAUUUUUAACGUUUACUUGUGGAUUUUAGAAGGACUAUUUCCAAUACAGUCUUGAGUCAGAAAGGCGCUGCUCCAAGCCGAGGAGUUGAAGUCUCUCGAGGUUUUGUUUGAGAGGAGAAAAAUACUCGCACUGAUUCUGGAGGUUUCCUCCUACUUAAAAUUGCUUCUUCUGCUUUCAGUUGCUUCAAAGUCAGUGACUUAAUGCUAUCAACUGGACUUCCUUCAUUAACUCUUUAGUCAAUUUCCAAAAUAUGACCUGCCAAAUUUGUAUUAUAAUACCAAUCGAUUUGGAUCUUGUGUAAUUGGAUCAGUUAUUGUCACUGCAGUAACGGUCAGUAUGUUGAAUUGUUUCUGCAAGGCAAUGAUUUAAUCCAAUCUGUUGGGUUUCUUUAGACAGAAACUUUUGACACUAAUUUGAAUAGUUAAUUGAGCAUACUGUAUUGCUUGAUAACUUGGAUCACUUUGGAUGUAUGUGUGACUGGAUUGGAAUUAAUUGUUGCAAAGUUAACAGAUCACUGCAAUCUAAUGGGUUCCUGAGAUACAGAUUAUCUUUACUGGUGUUUUAUCUUUUUUGUAAGGUGACUUGAGUUGAUAUUUUUGUGAAUUGGCACUAAGCUUUAUUGAAACUGAAUUGAACUUAAAAAAUAGGCUACGCCUAACUCGGCUAAAUUAAAGUGGAGUUAGAAUUUUAGAAGUCAAGACAACUGAGAGGUGACUGAGAUUGGAGGUUCAUUUGGACACAUAUUUAUUUUACUGUCUUCUGACCCUCUUUGUGACCAGGAGGCUGCUGUGACCCGACCAGUUGUACAGACAGACCAUCUAGAAAGUGAAGGCUGAAAGCCAGGCUCUGAAAGAGCAGGGCCAGGCCUGGAAUGACGCAGGCCCCGGUAAACAGAGAGCGCCGAGGAGAGAGCCACGGCCCCUGGGGCCCCUCGGCCCCUCCUGCCCCUCCGAGCACUUCCUGCGUCUGUCAUUCUACCAGCAUAUCCAAUCCCUGAUCAAAGGCCACGGAGAAAAAAGGGGGGAAAGAAGAGAGAGGAGACAGUGAAGUGAAAAGGGCGCGGGAGGCUGACGUGUACGUUGGAGGGAAAGAGGGGAGAAAACAACAAGCCCCUCUUUAUCUGACGGAGAGGCAGCUGCUUGGGCCAGGGCACCUGUGUGCCUGCUGCCUCCCAGGACGGCGCCAAGCUCCGCCUCUGAACUUGCCGGUGCCAGAGCCAUAAAACGCUGCCAAGGCAACACCCCCAACCCCGACGUCUGAAAUAAACAAUCUUUUGCCCUCGUCUGAGGAGCUUAACCUGUAGAUGAUCUGCGAGCAGGCCGAGGUUGGGUUGGCACUACCAUCAUGACUAAUUAAAACCUCGUCCACGGGGGUGCGGCAAGUUACUGUAAAAAAUCCUCAAAGUGGAUAUAAGCAGAAAAAUCUGCAUGGUCACCUGCCGUGUUGCACCUUUUUCAUAUUUUCCGUUAGGACGAUGGCAAUUUUUCAAUAUGGCCGACAUUUUUGAGCCUUUUAAGGCAAUUAUUUCCAUAAGAUGCUGCACAUUUUCAUGAUUUGGAUGAAUUUUAUGUCAAAUCAUAUGCUUUCGCCAACUAUAAUCAUCUUAUUCAUACAACUUUAAAGUAAUAAUAUAUGGAAAAAAUCAGAUGUUUGUGAGUCUCACACCAGUCAGAGAUGAAGAUCUGUCUGACAGUCAUCUUAAUGGGUAGCGUUAGCUUCCACUAACACCUCAGCAUUAGUGGGGCUAAGAUUGAUAAGCAAAUUAGUGGUUAGUGAUCCUAAUUUUUCAGUUAGCUUUGCACACCACUGACAGUAACUGCUGUCCAUUUUAGUGCAAGCAUCCAUUACUCCAUUACAACCAUGGCGGCCAGUUUGACAAAUGUCUACCAGAAAAAGAAAACACAAAAAAUGAAGAAAAUAUAUCUGAUGUUUAUUUUUCAAAAUAUGUAGACUAUAAUUUGACAUCAAACAGUUUUAUCUAUUUGGUAGUUUUAGCGCAAAGAAUGUUUUCAGUGACAAAA